rnacentral:siRNA from 1 species
UGGCCACCCAUUGCACUAGU